AAGACAGGAACAGGAAGACCUCAGCCCUCAGCCUAAAAUCCUUUCAAAGGUGGAUGCAGCCUUUCUUCUGGAAAUCUGCUGACCAGUCUACAGUGACCAAGGCUCUAUAAAAUACAGUCGGGAGGUCACCGUUAUGAACAUCUCCAAGAUUUCCUCCAAGAGAUCGAGGAUUGUGAUGAUGGCCAACUGACUGUUCCAAAAGUGAUGACAGUGGCUGACGGGACAGGCGCACAAGCCGGUCUUACCCAGCGAGAAGAGGGUGUCUAUACAAUUUAAGCAUGAUUGUGAUGGACACGCAAUUUGUUUUCCGACAGUGAGUGCCUGCAGUCGCACGGUCACACUUCCUGUAUUGCACAUGAGCACAAUUCAGCAGUUCAGAAAUAUAAUGGAUCUGGCCUUAACCCACGGAGGCUCCUUUGACCGAGCUUGAUUGUGCAUGUGUGGUGAGGGGGAGGGUACUUGGGCAAUAUCA